UACGGGGGGGGCAAGCGUUGUUCGGAAUUACUGGGCGUAAAGGGCGCGUAGGCGGCCAUCUAAGUCAGACGUGAAAUCCCCCGGCUUAACCUGGGAACUGCGUCUGAUACUGGAAGGCUUGAGUAUGGGAGAGGGAUGUAGAAUUCCAGGUGUAGCGGUGAAAUGCGCAGAUAUCAGGAGGAACACCGGUGGCGAAGGCGGGUCUCUGGGCAACAACUGACGCUGAGGAGCGAAAGCGUGGGGAGCGAACAGG
rnacentral:rRNA from 1 species